rnacentral:rRNA from 1 species
AAUUUUUGACAAUUGGGGAAACCCUGAGCCAGCCAUCCCGCGUGUACGAGGAAGGCCUUCGGGUUGUAAAGUACUUUUGGCAGAGAAGAAAAGGUAUCCCCUAAUACGGGAUACUGCUGACGGUAUCUGCAGAAUAAGCCCCGGCUAACUACUUGCCAGACGCCGCGGUAAUACGUAGGGUGCAAGCGUUAAUCGGAAUUACUGGGCGUAAAGCGUGUGUAGGCGGUUCGGAAAGAUAGGUGUGAAAGUCCAGGGCUCAAGCUUGGAACUGCAUUUUUAACUGCCGGGCUAGAGUAUGUCAGAGGGGGGUAGAAUUCCACGUGUAGCAGUGAAAUGCGUAGAUAUGUGGAGGAAUACCGAUGGCGAAGGCAGCCCCCUGGGAUAAUACUGACGCUCAGACACGAAAGCGUGGGGAGCAAACAGG